rnacentral:rRNA from 1 species
GAGGGAAAGGCGAAAAGAACCCCUGUGAGGGGAGUGAAAUAGAUCCUGAAACCGCAUGCAUACAAGCAGUGGGAGCACCUUCGUGGUGUGACUGCGUACCUUUUGUAUAAUGGGUCAGCGACUUAUAUUCAGUAGCGAGGUUAACCGUAUAGGGGAGCCGUAGAGAAAUCGAGUCUUAAUAGGGCGUUUAGUUGCUGGGUAUAGACCCGAAACCAGGCGAUCUAUCCAUGAGCAGGUUGAAGGUUGGGUAACACUAACUGGAGGACCGAACCCACUGUCGUUGAAAAGCCAGGGGAUGACUUGUGGAUAGGGGUGAAAGGCUAAUCAAGCCUGGUGAUAGCUGGUUCUCCCCGAAAGCUAUUUAGGUAGCGCCUCGGACGAAUACCAUAGGGGGUAGAGCACUGUUUCGGCUAGGGGGUCAUCCCGACUUACCAAACCGAUGCAAACUCCGAAUACCUAUGAGUACUAUCCGGGAGACAGACUGCGGGUGCUAACGUCCGUAGUCAAGAGGAAAACAAUCCAGACCGCCAGCUAAGGCCCCAAAAUCAUAGUUAAGUGGGAAACGAUGUGGGAAGGCAUAGACAGCUAGGAGGUUGGCUUAGAAGCAGCCACCCUUUAAAGAAAGCGUAAUAGCUCACUAGUCGAGUCGGCCUGCGCGGAAGAUGUAACGGGGCUAAAACUAUGUGCCGAAGCUGCGGAUGUAUACUUUGUAUACGUGGUAGGGGAGCGUUCUGUAAGCCGAUGAAGGUGUGUUGAGAAGCAUGCUGGAGGUAUCAGAAGUGCGAAUGCUGACGUGAGUAACGACAAAACGGGUGAAAAACCCGUUCGCCGAAAGACCAAGGGUUCCAGUCCAACGUUAAUCGGGGCUGGGUGAGUCGACCCCUAAGGCGAGGCCGAAAGGCGUAGUCGAUGGGAAAAUGGUUAAUAUUCCAUUACUUCUGUGUAAUGCGAUGAGAGGACGGAGAAGGCUAAAUCAGCCUGGCGUUGGUUGUCCAGGUGAAAGGAUGUAGGCAUGUAUCUUAGGCAAAUCCGGGGUACUCUAUGCUGAGAUCUGAUAGCAAGCUGUACUUGUACAGCGAAGUGGUUGAUGCCAUGCUUCCAGGAAAAGUCUCUAAGCUUCAGUUACACAGGAAUCGUACCCGAAACCGACACAGGUGGUCAGGUCGAGUAGACCAAGGCGCUUGAGAGAACUCUGCUGAAGGAACUAGGCAAAAUGGUACCGUAACUUCGGGAGAAGGUACGCUGUUGUUGGUGAUGGAACUCGCUUCCUGAGCUGACGACAGCCGCAGAAACCAGGCCGCUGCAACUGUUUAUUAAAAACAUAGCACUCUGCAAACACGAAAGUGGACGUAUAGGGUGUGAUGCCUGCCCGGUGCUGGAAGGUUAAUUGAUGGGGUUAGCGUAAGCGAAGCUCUUGAUCGAAGCCCCAGUAAACGGCGGCCGUAACUAUAACGGUCCUAAGGUAGCGAAAUUCCUUGUCGGGUAAGUUCCGACCUGCACGAAUGGCAUAAUGAUGGCGGCGCUGUCUCCAGCAGAGGCUCAGUGAAAUCGAAAUCGCUGUGAAGAUGCAGUGUACCCGCGGCUAGACGGAAAGACCCCGUGAACCUUUACUGCAGCUUGACACUGAACUUUGACCUUACUUGUGUAGGAUAGGUGGGAGGCUUUGAAGCUGGAACGCUAGUUCCAGUGGAGCCGUCCUUGAAAUACCACCCUGGUAAUGUUGAGGUUCUAACUCUGUCCCGUGAUCCGGGACGAGGACCGUGUCUGGUGGGUAGUUUGACUGGGGCGGUCUCCUCCUAAAGAGUAACGGAGGAGUACGAAGGUGCGCUCAGCGUGGUCGGAAAUCACGCGUAGAGUAUAAAGGCAAAAGCGCGCUUAACUGCGAGACCCACAAGUCGAGCAGGUACGAAAGUAGGUCUUAGUGAUCCGGUGGUUCUGUAUGGAAGGGCCAUCGCUCAACGGAUAAAAGGUACUCUGGGGAUAACAGGCUGAUACCGCCCAAGAGUUCAUAUCGACGGCGGUGUUUGGCACCUCGAUGUCGGCUCAUCUCAUCCUGGGGCUGAAGCAGGUCCCAAGGGUAUGGCUGUUCGCCAUUUAAAGAGGUACGCGAGCUGGGUUUAGAACGUCGUGAGACAGUUCGGUCCCUAUCUACCGUGGGCGCUGGAAAUUUGAGAGGAUCUGCUCCUAGUACGAGAGGACCAGAGUGGACGAACCUCUGGUGUACCGGUUGUGACGCCAGUCGCAUCGCCGGGUAGCUAUGUUCGGAAGGGAUAACCGCUGAAAGCAUCUAAGCGGGAAGCCUACCUCAAGAUAAGAUUUCCCUAGGACUUUAUGUCCUCUAAAGAGCCGUUCGAGACUAGGACGUUGAUAGGUUGGAUGUGGAAGCAUAGUGAUAUGUGAAGCUGACCAAUACUAAUUGCUCGUGAGGCUUGACUAU